rnacentral:ncRNA from 1 species
CCUGAGCGCGUGGCGCAUCACCACCUCGCGGAACGACAGGCCCUUCAGCCGCGCGGUGCGGAUAUAUUGCGCCGUCAUCACCUCGGCCAUGCUGGCGCGGGUCAUGCGGGCGAUGUAGCCGAUGCCGUAAAGCGCGAUGGUGAUGACCGGCAGGGUGAAGUUCUGGAAGGUG